UACGUAGGGUGCGAGCGUUAAUCGGAAUUACUGGGCGUAAAGCGUGCGCAGGCGGUUUUGUAAGCCAGAUGUGAAAUCCCCGGGCUCAACCUGGGAAUGGCAUUUGGGACUGCAAGGCUGGAGUUUGGCAGAGGAGACUGGAAUUCCCGGUGUAGCAGUGAAAUGCGUAGAUAUCGGGAGGAAUACCGAUGGCGAAGGCAGGUCUCUGGGCCGAGACUGACGCUGAGGAGCGAAAGCGUGGGGAGCGAACAGG
rnacentral:rRNA from 1 species